rnacentral:rRNA from 1 species
UAGGGAAUCUUCGGCAAUGGACGAAAGUCUGACCGAGCAACGCCGCGUGAGUGAAGAAGGUUUUCGGAUCGUAAAACUCUGUUGUUAGAGAAGAACAAGGACGUUAGUAACUGAACGUCCCCUGACGGUAUCUAACCAGAAAGCGACGGCUAACUACGUGCCAGCAGCCGCGGUAAUACGUAGGUGGCAAGCGUUGUCCGGAUUUAUUGGGCGUAAAGCGAGCGCAGGCGGUUUCUUAAGUCUGAUGUGAAAGCCCCCGGCUCAACCGGGGAGGGUCAUUGGAAACUGGGAGACUUGAGGGCAGAAGAGGGGAGUGGAAUUCCGUGUGUAGCGGUGAAAUGCGUAGAUAUAUGGAGGAACACCAGUGGCGAAGGCGGCUCUCUGGUCUGUAACUGACGCUGAGGCUCGAAAGCGUGGGGAGCAAACAGG